GACGUAGGGUGCGAGCGUUGUCCGGAUUUAUUGGGCGUAAAGAGCUCGUAGGCGGUCUGUCGCGUCUGGUGUGAAAACUCAGGGCUUAACCCUGAGCUUGCAUCGGGUACGGGCAGACUAGAGUGCGGUAGGGGAGACUGGAAUUCCUGGUGUAGUGGUGAAAUGCGUAGAGAUCGGCAGGAACACCCAGGGGGAAACCAGCUGCCUGGGCAAGCGCUGACGCUGAGGUGCGAGAG
rnacentral:rRNA from 1 species